rnacentral:rRNA from 1 species
AGGACGAACGCUGGCGGCGCGCUUAACACAUGCAAGUCGAGCGAGAACCGGUCCUUCGGGACCGGGGAAAGCGGCGAACGGGUGAGUAACACGUGGGUAAUCAACCCUCGGUACCGGGAUAGCCCGAGGAAACUCGAAUUAAUACCGGAUGGCCCAACAGCCUUUCGGGGCGGUUGGAAAAGGUAGCUUCGGCCUCCGACCGAGGACGAGCCCGCGGCGGAUUAGCUUGUUGGUGGGGUAACGGCCCACCAAGGCGACGAUCCGUAGCUGGUCUGAGAGGACGAUCAGCCACACUGGGACUGAGACACGGCCCAGACUCCUACGGGAGGCAGCAGUGGGGAAUCUUGCACAAUGGGCGAAAGCCUGAUGCAGCGACGCCGCGUGAGGGAAGAAGGCUUUCGGGUUGUAAACCUCUUUCAGGAGGGACGAAGCUACUCGGGUUAAUAGCCCAGAGGGUGACGGUACCUCCAGAAGAGCCCGGCUACUACGCGCCAGCAGCCGC